UCUGCCUCCCAGCCAUUCUGGUUUACCCCUGGUUCUCAGCAGGACUGCUCAGAGUAUCUCAAGUACCUCCUGAAUCGAUUACAUGAAGAAGAAAAAAACUGAAAAGAUCUACUACCAGCAGCUCAAGGAAUCCAGCUUGAUGUCUCAAGACAUGGAGCAUCAAUCCAUAAACAAGACACUGGUUGAGAAGAUGUUUGGGGG